rnacentral:rRNA from 1 species
AGGACGAACGCUGGCGGCGCGCUUAACACAUGCAAGUCGAGCGAGAACCAGGGCUUCGGCUCUGGGGACAGCGGCGAACGGGUGAGUAACACGUGGGUAAUCAACCCUCGACAUCGGGAUAGCCCGGGGAAACCCGGAUUAAUACCGAAUGCUCCGUCUGGCCUUCGGGCCGGCCGGAAAAGGUAGCUUCGGCCUCCGGUCGGGGACGAGCCCGCGGCGGAUUAGCUUGUUGGUGGGGUAAAGGCCCACCAAGGCGACGAUCCGUAGCUGGUCUGAGAGGACGAUCAGCCACACUGGGACUGAGACACGGCCCAGACUCCUACGGGAGGCAGCAGUGGGGAAUCUUGCGCAAUGGGCGAAAGCCUGACGCAGCGACGCCGCGUGAGGGAAGAAGGCCUUCGGGUUGUAAACCUCUUUCAGGAGGGACGAAGCCACUCGGGUUAAUAGCCCAGAGGGUGACGGUACCUCCAGAAGAAGCCCCGGCUAACUACGUGCCAGCAGCGC